rnacentral:lncRNA from 1 species
CUGUAGGAGGUAGUAUGGUGUUUUACUAAUACUCAAGCAGUCUAUCGGGUUCUUGACUACUCAAAUACAAUCUAUAUCAGAUUACAAUGUAAAAGCUUAAUUCCAAUAUAAAAUACUUAGAGAUCCUAUAUAACUUCAAUCUCUUUUGUUAUUUUUAUUUUAUUUUAUUUAUUUUAUGUUUUUUAUUUUAUCUUUAUCGUUAAUUACCUUAAUCCUAGACCGUGAACUUCGGCAAGCUGUGAUCCUCAAUCUGUCCUUCCGACUUGUUGUGAAACAUCUAUCGCUAGUGUUUCAACAAGCUCUUUUGAAUGUUCAAGAAGUUCCAGUUCAACCCCGCUUACAGAUUGUAAGGCUAUGCUGUAAUCCGCACCGAUGUCCCUUGGUCGCUCGUCGAUAUUCCUCUUAUUCCUAUCAAUAGGUCCCCAGUUAUCAUAAAAAUCCUAAACAACCUCCAAUUUGUCAACUCCCAAUACCUCUUUAAACUGUUGGCAAAUAUCCUCUAUCCAUACAGUCAGAUUAACACAACCACGCAUGCAUUCAGCAUACUCAACCUUCUAGACAACUUUGAAUUUCAACACCAGAAGUAUCUUCCAUUUCAUCAACAAUCAAGAGUACCAGCCUUUCCUCUUUUACAGAAAAAAAUCUAGUGUACCAAUAUAACACUGACUUUCAGUAACGAUUGCCCCAAUCUUCUCAAAACCCUAUGAAGAAAAAGAAAACCCCAAUUCUCUGUCUUUUUUCUCCAAAGCAUGAAGCUAGCUCUCUGACCUAAAACCCUCGAUUCUCAAAAAAAAAGUCCAUUUCUUAACCU